UUCAGGAAGCCUGCCUCUCCUCCCACUUCGCCCCUUCUCUCCGCGCAGCAUUAUGCUCUGUUGGUGGCUCUGGGCUUUGCAAAAUGUCGCGAUAUUCCCGCCCCCAGCCCCGGCCUGACCCCCGCGCCCCCAUCCACCCUGGGCCUGGCUCCCCCUCACCUCAGCAGGAAUGGGCUCCCGACCCACUCAGCCCGAGGCGGGGGCCCUGAGGCUCAGCCCGGCGCCCAGGCUGGGUUUCGCUUUGCCCCCUUGCUUGGCGGGGCUGCCUGCACAUCCCCGCCCCGUCUGUGUCCCGGGCAUCCCGCCAGCUCCCACCACCUCCACCGCGGCCCCGGUGCUGCCGGUGUCCCCCUGCCGGAUGCCCCGCCUUCCACCACGCGGGCCUGGCCCUCAUGUCGACGGGCAGACCUCUGCCCGCACACCUCCGGGUCUCAUCUCUCAUCCCCGCACCAUGGACGGACGUCUGAAUGCUUACAGUCAUUUCACUGACUCCUGGAAAACUGGAUGGGAGCUGAUGGAUGAGCUAAAAUCAGCAGUCCACUUUGAAGCACCAGAAUCCGAUUUCGGGGAAGACAUCACUUCCACGGACGGGGUAGGGAGGAUGGUUUUGGGAUGAUUCAAACACAUUGCAUUUAUUGUGAACUUUAAUCUAAUGCCACUGCUGAUCUGACAGCAGGUACCCAUCCACAGCCCCGAGGUUGGAGACCCCUGGGCUAAACGAUGCUUUGGGCCUGAUUGUUGCCUUUUCCAUAACAACAACCCUCAGGUAAAAUAAAAGCUUCUGUUCAGGGUUUCCCUGGUGGCUC
rnacentral:lncRNA from 1 species